AUGAGGCCGUACUCGCCGAAUCUCCGGCAAGCCGCUGCCGGCGCCGGCGCCACCAGCGCCCCCCUUGCAGCAGCUCUCGGCAAGAGUUCUUCGAGCUCCCUUAUCCAUGGCCGUCUCAGCUUCGGCCACACGUUGCUGCAGACACCGAACCACCGCGCCAAGAGAGCAGGGUGGGCGGUGCGGGUGCUUCCCCUGACGGAGGAGAACGUGGAGAGGGUGCUGGACGAGGUGCGGCCGAGCCUGAUGCGGGACGGAGGCAACGUCGCCCUGCACGAGAUCGACGGCCUCGUCGUCGUGCUCAUGCUCCAGGGCGCCUGCGGCUCCUGCCCCAGCUCCACCAUGACGCUCAAGAUGGGAAUCGAGUCCCGCCUCCGUGACAAGAUCCCCGAGAUCCUCGAGGUCGAGCAGAUCCACGACACCGAGACCGGGCUUGAGCUCAACACAGAGAACGUCGAGAAGCUGCUAGAUGAGAUCAGGCCGUACCUUUCCGGCACCGGAGGUGGAAGCCUUGAGCUUGUUCAGAUUGACGGUUUCGUCGUCAAGAUUCAAAUCAGUGGACCUGCAGCAGGUGUAAUGACAGUACGUGUAGCUGUAACACAAAAGCUGAGAGAGAAAAUACCAUCGAUCCUGGCUGUUCAGUUGACAGAGUAG
rnacentral:rRNA from 1 species